GGCGUCAUAAACAGUCAGAGAAAAACAUGACCAUGUCCAAUGCCAAGAGGUCCGAGACCACAAUUAUUUCGUAGUGCAUUUCUUUUAGAACAUAAAUGAAAAUAAAAAAAAAUCCCACCUGCGCUUUCUCAAAGAAACUUUUACAGAGUGUUGUACUACUUUUGGGACAAAUUAUAUCAAAAUUAUAGAAAACUUCAUCGUCUCUAACUCAAAAUAUGGACAAUUUUAUGUUUAGGGCGUCUUGAAAUCUUUUGACAGCUUCCGAAGUGCUAAUUUUAAACCUUUUUCAGCUGGACCAAAUCACUACUUUCCUUUAAAAUUCUGGACCCAAAUUUUUUACAGUGUAAUUUCACCCCCUACUUGCAAUUUGAGGCAUUAAACAUGGAGAAAUAAAUUUGGAAGGGGUAUAAAAAUUAAUGGCAAGUAACCCACUGUCAACACUAGGGACUAUAUUUGUACCAAGAUACAGGUAUUGACAUAUUGUAGAUCCAUGAAUGUGCAUAUGUAAACAACUAUAAAAGUUUGUUUUUAAUUUACAG
rnacentral:lncRNA from 1 species